rnacentral:rRNA from 1 species
AGCGAACGCUGGCGGCAGGCCUAACACAUGCAAGUCGAACGAACCUUUCGGGGUUAGUGGCGGACGGGUGAGUAACACGUGGGAACGUGCCUUUAGGUUCGGAAUAACUCAGGGAAACUUGUGCUAAUACCGAAUGUGCCCUUCGGGGGAAAGAUUAAUCGCCUUUAGAGCGGCCCGCGUCUGAUUAGCUAGUUGGUUGAGGUAAUGGCUCACCAAGGCGACGAUCAGUAGCUGGUCUGAGAGGAUGAUCAGCCACAUUGGGACUGAGACACGGCCCAAACUCCUACGGGAGGCAGCAGUGGGGAAUCUUGCGCAAUGGGCGAAAGCCUCACGCAGCCAGCCGCGUGAAUGAUGAAGGUCUUAGGAUUGUAAAAUUCUUUCACCGGGGACGAUAAUGACGGUACCCGGAGAAGAAGCCCCGGCUAACUUCGUG